AUUAGGGCUAUUGUGUCUGGAGCUAAGAUCCAGGUCUCAUCCCAAGGACUACUCAAGAAUCACAGUGGUGGGAAUUAAGCUCAGGGUGUUCCUUAUCCCAUCACAGCUGGAUGAGUUCUAGCUAUUUACCAAAUGGAAAGGACAAGCAGCUUAAGGAAUUCAGAGCUCCAACACUCCAAUAAGAAAAUUGCAUCUCUGUGCAUGUGCUGAAGCAGCAGGGGUGAGCUGGCCAUAGCAGUUAACCUUCACUCUACAUUCUGGAUCACAGUUAGGUGGGAGCAGAAAAUAACCACUCUCUUCUGAUUUUGCAGAGCACAUUCAAGUAUUCUGGUUGCAGUAUUCCUUCAGCCACUCAUCUCUAGAGAAUAUACCAUAGAAAUAGAGAAAUAUUUUUAUCUUUUACAUUUUAUGAGGCAUGAUGUGUGAGCCACUGUUUGAGGCAGAAUAAUGCUCCAAUGUACAUAUGGCCUGAAAAGAUGUAGCCAUGAAUACCUCUGUGUAUAAGAAGGGUUAUAGCACCUGGAUACAGCAAAAUUCUCCUACUGUUAGUGUUCCCUGGGCACACAGCCAAAAUACAUCAGCCAUGUGCUGAGUGAAUAUUGAAACAUUCCCAGUACAUCCCACAGCAUCACCAGUAAUCUCAUAUCUGUGCUGUGUCGUGACAGUAAGUUUUUCAGUAUAGCUCACCCGACCUAUAAACAUUUCUACCAACUGAGAACACAGGUGUUGCAAUGAAAUAUUUGACAACCUUUGCAGCAAAUAAGUUGAUACUCUAAUUUCUUAUAAAAAUCUAUGGAGUGUCAGAAGAAGUUUUGGGAUCAUUUAAAUUUUAAUGUGUUUUGAAAAAAUGGAGUCAUUUCAAGGCACUAGAGGGCUUUCGGGCUUAUUACAUUAGACUGCAAAGACUAAUCAUCAGCACGUAAAACUAUUGUUAAUUCAGAAGUUCAUAAAAAAAGAAGAAAAUUUAAGGUUAAAAAUAUCACUACUGCACUGGAUGACAUUGUUCCACUGAAAGUAGGUCUCGUUAAAGAAACCUGUUAUAUUUUUGAUGGGAUUUGUCUGGUUGAUAAAGAAAUUCACUAUGGUAUAACCUACUUUGAUUUCACUAGAUCUAAACUAGAUGACUCCCAGAUUGGAGCUGCUGCCAUAGAAAGGAACAGAAAGACUCAUCCUACAUCAAUUAAAAACUGUUUCAGUACGUCAAAAAGGUAUUUUUGAUGGAGAAAGAAGGAUUUCUAGUGAAUUGUAACUUUUUACUGUAAUGCCCCUACAAAUAGGCAUUGAGUCACUAUAAUUAAGUACUUCUUCACUGAAACAUAAAUGCUUGUUGUUGUUUGUUUGUUUAGUGAAAACUGGCAAGCAGCUCAUGAAUAAGUAAUAAAACUGGAAAGUUAUUAUUACAUAUGUAAUCAAAGACAACACUGAGUGGUCAAAGUGUACUAAAAACAGCCAAGUGAAAGGUUUUUACCUCUGGAAGCAAAAAAACUGAAGUGAUUAGGAAGGCGAGUCGGUCUUAGAAACCAUGAAGAUAGAUUGAGGAGCAUGGUUUGAGCAUGGUAAUGAUGCAUUGAUGGUUGGACUAGACGAUCUUAGUGGUCUCUUCCAACCUUAAUGAUUCCAUGAUUGUAUGUGCUAUGAUUUCCUGGAGAAAUCUUCCAAUAAAAGCACUAAGACAAUCUUCAAAAUGUAUUUAGUUGAUUUAAGUAUUUACCGAAGUCAUGUCUCUGGUACUAAAAAAGAAUAUCACACUCUCACUUGUAGAGAAGAGCUGAAAUAGUAAAAACUGAAGCUUUCAAAAAAAAAAAAAGGGCGAAUGAUAUGAACUUUAGGAAUCAAAAUCACAUCAGUCAAUUAAAGUUGGUAAGAAGAGCAUUUAUUGUGAAGAAUUUUUUGCAGGUAGGUAAAGCAUCUGAGAUUUUGAGGGGAAAGUUCAUAGCUUUUAGUGUUGCAAGAUUCCCGAGUCAAAUAACUGGAAAUUCAAAUUAGUUAUAAUUAUCCUUGACAUAAGGUCAUGCUUCCCAAAAAUGGCAAUAAUUAUGUUUCAGGAUAAUUUACCAGUGGAGAUGGUGGACUCAACAUUCACUGCAGUGUCUAAAACAGAGAUAAACAGGAGAGUUCGGUGGAUGUUAGAACUUAAGAUUUAUUGGCCUUUUUGAAAAUGACAUUUUUUUUUGUUGAAAUAAGUAAAACUACACACAUUCCCAUGGAACAAGAAGUUCCCAGAUCCCUGAAGUUGCUCAGCAAAUCUGACACUCUUGUGCACUUCAUUACUAGCUGGCAAUUAGCAAGUCCAUUAAAUGCUAGUUAAUGAGAAUGCUAAUUUCACUGAACAGCUGCAGGUGUCUCCCAGCACAUCCAUCUCUGGGGCAGAUCCUCCAGCUGACUGCCCCAGGCUGGGAGAUAUCUGUUUUCCCAAAUUCCCAAUUCUGGGGCAGCCCCAUCAGGGCCAUCUGUUCUUGAGCCAGAGAGGGUGCAAUGGCCAAGAUGCUUGGCUCUGGAUAAAUCCUGCAAAAUGUGGGUGUGCUGCCAGAAAAACAGCAUUAAUGGGUCUGAGAAUUGAUUGCUGACCAGUCCACCACAACCCAGCUACGGGUUUGGUAUAAGCUCAUGAGAGUAUUUCCAACAAAAGCCUCUCCAACCCAAUGGGCUGGCAUUUCCAGGUGUUUCUGCAGCAAAAGAAGCACAAGAGGAACAGCAAGGUUAAACUGGCAGUCCUGACAAAGGAAAUAGUAAAUUUCUCUGGUGCCUGUUGCAGAGCAUGACCUGGUGUGCAUGAGCUUUUGAGAGGGGAAUUCAGCCAUCUAGCGUCUGGUUUACAAAGGCAAUCAGGGCUUAGCAAUUGAUAGUUUUCUUCCCAAAGCUUUCACACUCACAGAUUGUAGAUUUAUUGGAGAAAGAUUUGGGCUCAACCCAGCUCUCUCUGUGUGAAAGAUUUAUAUAGCACUGGCAGCAUAUGGAACUGAAAGUACAGAUAAACCUCUGCACCUUUUGAUGCUAAUUCAGGCAGAACCUUCAAGCGUGGAAAGUUCAGCAUCAUUAUUAAUAUAAAAACCUUUGAACGCAACAAUACACCCCCAGCCCUGCACACCACACACCAUUGUACUUACUUUACUUUUAUUUCUUCUAAUUACAAAGCAUUACUCACAAGAAUGACAGAUUUUAUUACUCACUAUUAUACAAUUUCUUUAUUCCCCAGUCCUAACAAAAAAGAAAGUACAGAAAAAGAAGUUAUUUGGAAAAAAAAAAAAAAAAAAAAAAAAAGAAUACCCCUCAUAAUAAAUGACUUAAUCAUAAGAAAGAAUUUCGAUGCCAAGGCAUUACUUUUUCUGAAUUUGCCUGUUUGGUUAAAAUUCCUGCCAUGUUUGACUUGAGGCAAUUCUGUAGUUAGCUUCAAAUUUGUCACUCUCCUGACUAAUUCCUUUUAAUUAGACUUAACAUAGAAAAAAAAAGUUGUCAUCGUUUAAAAUUAAGUCAAGUAAUGUAUUGAUUGAAUGAGGACUUAACAAAUAAGUAGUCUUAUAGCAAAUGAUUCAAGCAAGAACAUUUUUAAGCUCAGGCAUUUUUCUUUCCCUGUCCUGAAUCCUACUCAAUAUUACGUUUCACCUUGUGGUCCUUCCAGAUUCCCUAUAUAUGCAUGCACACAGGUGCACAUGCACAUUAAGCAAUUAUUUCACAUAGACAGUCAAGAUAAGUAUGUGAAUUGAAGCGUUUAACCAUUCAGUAACAAAAUGGGGCAUUUUGAGGACAUUCAGAAAAGAAAUGACUUCUUUAUCCUAAUGGUUUUUGUCUAUGCCUACACCAGCAAGGCAAGAGUUGGGUAUGUUUUGAUAACAGUGGAGCUUUACCUCCAGACUGCCUGGAAAAUCAAAUAUGGUUGGAUUGGAGGAAGAUUGCUAGCACUGACUUUCAGCCACAUAUCCAUGGCAUUGCUCUGUGCCACUUCACAAAGUUACAGCUGGAAAAGUGUAAGAGGUAAGAAAUGGACAUAGGGGUGUUAGUCUACACUUGGCUAAACAUUAGCCAGCAUUGUGCCCAGGUAACAAAGAAGGCCAGUGUCAUCCUGGCACGUGUAAGAAAUAGUGUGGCCAGCAGGAGCAGGGAGGUGACUGUCCCCCUGUGCUCAUCUCUGGUAAAGCCUGAGUACUGUGUUCAACUUUAGGCCCCUCAUACAAAAAAAAACAAAAACAAACAAACAAAACAAAACAAAACAAAACAAACAAACAAACAAAAAAACCCACACUGAGGCCCUAGAGCAUAUCUAGAAAAGGGCAAUGAAGCUUGUGAGGGAUAUGGAGCACAAGUUUUAUGAGGAGCAGCUGAUGGAACUGGGAUUGUUUACUCUGGAGAAGAGGAGGCUCGGGAGAGACCCUCUUGCUCUCUACAACUAUCUGAAGGGAGGUUGUGGUGAGAUAGGGGUCAGCCUCUUCUCCUGGGUAGCGAGGAUAGUCCUAGAGGGACUGACCUCGAGUUGCACCAGGGAAGAUGCAGGCUGGAUGUUAGGAGAAAUUUCUUUGCCAAAAGAGUGCUCAGGCACUGGAACGGGCUGUCCAGGGAGGCAGUUGGGUCAUCAUCCCUGGAGCUGUUCAAGAAACAUUUAGAUGUCUUACUAAGGGACAAGGUUCAGACGGGAAAUAUUGGUGGAGGAAGGAUGGUUGGACUAGAUGUUCUUUGAGGUCUUUUUCAACCUUGGUGAUUCCAUGAUUCUAUGAUUUUUAAAUGCCUUCCAGAUUUUUGUUGAAUAGAACUGUCUGAAGAACACCUCUUUGGGUGUGUUAAGAUCAGAGUUCAGUCUUUGGGCAGCUCUCUGUAGUCUACAUUUAAAAUUUCUCUCUUAUAAACAAUAAUUGCCUUCAGAAUAAAUGAAUUUCCUGAAAUAGUAAUUUUGACCCAGAUCUUUUCAAUACAUCAUUGCACUUCAUCGAUGCAUGAUUGCAUGGUGGUCAUGCAGUGAGCUGCAGAAAUGUGUUGCUAUUAUACAGUUACCCACAUUUACUUGAAAAGAUUUCCUCUGGAUUCUCCUUCUCUUGUUCUACUAGUUAUAUACAAGUAUAGGAGUACUAAAUCUUACUGCAUUGCCACUUAAGAUAGUCUGAGGAAAAUACAUCGACCCUGUAAAGAUUUUGCAGAUUAAAGCUAUCCUUCAAUAUCUAUGGUUCAUAGGUCCUUCCCUAGCAAACUAGCCUUGAGGGAAGACUGCUGAGCAUCCAGUAAUUUUUUACAAGCAAUUGACCCACUCUAAUAAGAUUAGUUCUUCAGAUAACCCAUGACUCCCUGAAAAUGACUGUACAAGUGUUUUUCUCCAAAGUUCCAUAUGCAGGCAGUAUCAAGAAUGUUUUCAGUGUCUGCUAGAAGGGUAUUUUUCAAGAGUGAUGGUGAGAGAGUAUUAAUGAAGAUAUUUUGAAGCCAAUGUGAGUAAAAUCUGUAAUGCUCUAGUGAAGUACAUAAUUCUCUGAAAGUGAAUCCAAACAGCUAAGAAGUCUUCUUCUACACAGUGAUUAAUUUCCUCUGAUGCAGAACAAUAUCUAGAGAUUAUCUUCCACUCAACCUCUGCAUCUCCAGGUAAAGUGUGAAGAGUAGAUGGAGAUAUGGUUGGGCUAGAUGUUCUUAGUACUCUUUUCCAACAUUAAUCAUCCUAUGAUCCUGCAAUACUGUGUCACACUACUCAAAAAGGCUGGGGCUACAGUGACAGUCAUUGAUCUCUCCUUUCAUAAAAGCACAUUUUUCUUAAUCAAUCCACAUUUGGUAACAAACAAAUGAGAACAGGAUCACCAUGGGGUGGGUGUUGAGAAGUGGCUCCUUCCAUCAAAUGUUGGAAUAGUCAUAGAAGCAUAGAAUCAUUAAAGUUGGAAUGACCUCUAAGAUCAUCUAGUCCAACUGUCAACCCAUUAUCACUACGUCCACUUAAAGAAUCAUUACAAAUUGUCUGAGAGUUACUCCCCUGGGAUAAUCCACAGCACAGAAAGAAAAAAAUGUCAUCUUCUUAUGCAGCAGGAGUUCAUGGAAGUAGUAGCAAUUCACCACCAGCAAGCAGACUGUUAGUUCCCACAGCACUCCGUGCCAUGCUAAGGAUGUGUAGAGAGAGACAUAAAAUUUGGGAUGUGUGUCAAUCUGUUCUUCUUCCUUGGAAGAAGAUAGCUGACAGGUAUUCAGUACCAUCUGCUGAUGGUCCUCAUUAUCAACAAGCCCAUAUUAGUUUCAUGUAACAGUAAUCAGAAACAGUCACCUUUGGCACUAUUUGCAUCCCACCUGCUCUGGCAAUAAGAUGAAAUAAUGGUACAAAAUGGGAGCCUAGGAACUAGUUGAUUUAUUCCACCCAGUUAUUUGCAUCAUCUUUCUUCCUUUGAUGACUGGGUCCAGAUUUUGGGGCUAAAGGUGAAAGGACUGUACUGGAAAUAGUUCCAUAAUAAUGGAGCCACUCCUAAGGAAACUGCUUUUGUGAAAGAGAACAGUUAUGACUCAGCAUGAGGAUUUGUGUUCCUUCAAAUACUUUCAUUUCUUCCUCUUUAGUCCGUUUUCCUGAUAUACCAUCUUGUUGUAAAUCUAUAUGCAUCAUUACCCCCAUUCCCCUCCCACAACCCAAAAAGUUAUACAUCCUCUAGCAAAGUUCAACUACAUUUGAUGGAACAGUAGAAGUCCACUUCCAUGGGCUACAAGCAUGUUGCUUUUUUUCACACUCAUAGUGUUUCUUUCUUGAUCUUAUAUCUAUUAUAGAAAAAUGCCAUGGUAAGUCUUGCAUUCCUAUCAUCCUUUCAAUAGUAGGGUCAAAAAUGAUCCUCAAAAGUUGCAUGUGAGUUACUCAUGAACGUUGGCUUGGUAGAGCUGAGACUUUCAGGGAGUUUCAGUAUUGGCAAAGAACAAAUGCUGACUUGUGAGGUUUGCCCAUACCUCUGGAGAGAGAAUCAAUCACAGUGUAAUGAAGCAUUCAAGCCAUCAGUUGUUACGAAAUAAGACUUCCACCAUAGUCUUUACUCCACUAAAGCACACCACUUUUCAGCUCAUUUAAUCUGAACCAUCACAUCUUUUGAAGUCUGAUUGAGUCAGAAUAAGUCUGACUGUGCUCAUGAAUUUCUGUCAAAGAUCAGGGUUCAAUAAAUUAGUGCAUGUGGAAGAAGAACAAAGAAGACAACUUCAUCCUUAGCUUUUUAUCUCUGCAAUGGUAGAUCAGGAGUAUCAGUGUGGUAUCAGUAACAGUGACAGAUUGUACAUACUUCCUGAGCAUCCAGGGGUUGACUUGGACUUGAGAUCAGGUUAUUGUGAUCUUGCUUGCUCCUUUUUCCUUGCUAAGCUCACCUGGUUGUUAGGGCAAAUUCAGACGACACAGUACAAGAGAGAAGUCUAGUGACUGCUCAGAGAAUGGUAGAGGUAUCGGUCCCUCAGUCCUUCCUUGUCUCAAAUGUUUGUUUGUUUGUUUGUUUAAUCCACUAUUAAAAAUAAUCAAUAAAAUAAUAACAAUAUUUUAAUGUGUACCUUUUUCGUUUCCUCUUUUCCUCCUUAGUCCUCCAUGAAAGGAAACAUUCUCUUGUCUAUCUUCUAUAUCAACAGAUAAUCAUUCUUACAAGAAAAAACAAUGUGUAAUCAGUUAAAAAUACAAAGGAUUUUUGCCAGAAAUUUGCUUGGAGAAGCUGCUUGCUUAUUUGCUUGAAUAGUCCUUCCAAGACAGGCAUAAUUGCUAGGCAGGGAAUUGACUUCCCAUCCUCGGCCAGAUGAUCAGCACUUUUGCCCUAACAGCAUGUUUCUGUCAGUGGCAGAGUUGGCAGCCUCCAGAGCAUGAUGGUUUUCCUUAGCCACAGUGUGACAUUUCUUCUGCAUACCAAUUGAGGAAGCAGGCACACUGUCUUCCAGCUAUUCCUUUGACGUUCUGUUCCAUAAGUGAAGUUGAAGGGAAGAAAUUCAGUCCCCUCCUUCUGUCUGACUCAUCAUGGUGGAGAAGUUCUGACACCAGAGUCCAGCCCCCCGGAAACGAAGCGCUGUCGCAGAUGCAGUCUGCCUUUAAAAGUGAGUCAGGUGGGUGUAGGAGGCAUGUCAUUGUUAAAAUAUAAUAAGAGAGCCACUCCCAAUUUGUAGGCAGCCCACUCUGAAGUCAGCUGUGAUAGGAGCAGAGAAAUAGGAAACUUGAUGUCAGAGAGAUGAUGCAGCAGGAGUGGUUAUUGCUACCUGGGUACAUCAAGAGCUAAUUAAACUCAAAGUUCCUCUUCUGUUGUAUUAUCAUAUGAAUGAGACCUAAAGAGAAAAUUACAAUGAUGAACUGGCUUCAGAAUGAGAAUUACUUCAGCUGUUCAUUUGCACUGGCAGACGUUCAGGGAAGGGUGAAGGUGAAGAGUGAAGAUCCUGACAAAUCCUCCAGUUAUUUCUAGUUCUGUCCUAAGUGACGUGUAGUGAUAGACCAAGGGGGAAUGGCUUUAAACUAAAAGAGAAGAAAUUUAGUUUAGAUGUUAGGUAGAAAUUCUGUGUGCUGAGGCACUGGCACAGGUUGCCCAGAGACAUUGUGGACCCACCAUCGUUGGAGGCAUUCAAAGCUGGGUUGGAUGGGGCCCUGGGCAGCCUGAUCUGAUGGUUGACAACCUUGUCCGUGAACUAGAAGAUCUAUAAGGUCCCUUCCAAACCAAGCCAUUCUGUGAUUCUGUGAUCUGGAAUCAUACGAACCUGUCCAUUAGGCUUCUGUGUAUCAUUACCCCCUUGACAAUCUCAGCAUUGUUAUGUCAUGUUACAGAAAGAAUUCUCUCACACUCUUCUAUCUGUAUACUGCUGGUAUAAGCAAUUAAGUAAUAUAAGAAAUUAAAAACUGGAGAACUGAAACAAAAAAACAGUGUGGAAAAAAACCUCUUCUAUCAGCAUUAUUAAAGGAAAAGAGAUCUAAACUUUUUUAUACUCAGAAUGAAGUACUUAGACUGUCUUCACAUCUUAAUCUAUGAGAAGAUUGACCAUUUAUUUUCUGAGGAGGUCAUUUUUUAGAUAAAAAACAUGUUGUUUUGAAAUUAAUGGUGAAAAAGUUUAGCUUAGAAAAUGUCAAAACAAAGGAGUUUGGUAUUUUCAAAAUGAAACAUUUCAGUUAGAAAAUAUCAAAGGGAGAUAUACUGACAUUUAAAAGAUUAUUACCACGUUAAUGUUCUGCAAUUUUUGGCUAAAACUCUAAAUUCAGUCUAAUUCUGGAAAGAUAUUUCAACUUUAAAAAUUAAUUUUCUUUUAGAAAAAAAAAAAAAAAAGAUUCUCAGUGUUCACUUUGAGUAAAUUUGCAAUCAGUUUAAUGAGUAUCUACCUGAGAUUUGAUAUGCUGGUAUUCAAUCUAAGGCCAAAAUGACACGUAGCAUUCAAGAUUGCUGUGCAAUUACGAAGAUGGACAGACUAUCAUCAGUCCACCUUUAUUGUCUGUGAUAACUCCAUUACUUUCUGAUAUAUUUCCUUUUAAAAAGGUCAGUUCUAUGCCAAAAUAUUACCUGGACUAGAGAUUUGAUGGAAUUGCCAUACAGAAUUUUGACCAAGGAGUAUAAUCUCUCCUUACAGAUGGCCACCAUUCCUAAAGACAGAAAUAAAUAAACUAAUUCACUUCUACAAAAGAUGCUAUACUAAGCAGCUCACACUCUAUUGAUAGUCUGGGGAAUUACAGGCUGGUGAGGGUAACUCUGUAGCAAACAAGUGGAAUCUAUUAUCAAGAACAGGACCACUAAGUCUAUGGUAAACACUGAUUGCUAUGGCAAGAGUCCACUGGAGAUCCAGUGGAAAGGAUAGGCUUAGACUUCCAAAAGCCUCCAGGUAAAAAGUUGUUAAAAAAUGCAAGAUAACACAAGACUGGAGAAUAUUUUCUUUCAUAAACUGACACUUUUUUAAAGGAAAAUUAGGACUGAACAAUCAGUUUGUAGGAUACAGAAGAUUGAA